rnacentral:lncRNA from 1 species
CCGAAUCGAAAAAUAAUCGCACCAGCUAAACACUCUCCCAAAAUUCCAAAAACUAAGCAACAAAGAGCUAAACACCCAUGACUCUCCAGCUCUCGAAGAUAACAGAAGUUUAACUUCACUGACGGUAAGCAUCACAGCAACCGCGUCCACUUCUUCAUCUUCAUUCACAAUAGCCACGACAGUUCUGGUUUUAGCUGAGAGUAGUGGCACCACCUGUGUCAGUCAGGAGCAACAGCAAGCCUUUCUUUUCAGCCAAGAACAGCCACAGCACCAGCAUCGGUCAGGAACAACAACUAAAGUUUUCAGCCGUAAGCAGUAGCCUUUGUCUCAACCGUGAAGAGCAGCACAGUGCUUUCAAUUGUGAGUAGUGGUUCUUGUUUCAACUAUGAGCAGUAGCAGCACCUUUCCCUUCCAACAUCCUUAGUUCUCCUUCGGUCUCCAUUGAAGGUCUAACUCUCAAGCUCUCAAAGGAUGACCUCUCAAAUUUGAUUUUUAUGAAUCAUUUUUGUAUUUUUAUUUUCAUGAUUUAUGUGCUUGAUUUGGAAGUGGUGCUCAAAAAUAUUCGUUUAACAUCAAGUUUAAUUGUGUGGUUGUGAUAUUUACCUGAGAUAGUUUUCAUAAAUAUUACACAGAAUCAAAUAUUAUAAGAGGAUUUGAUUAAAGAUUUGAUUGUUGAAUGAUUAGGUUUAUGUACAGUAUAUGAGGUUGAAAUUGUUGAUGUUAAUUAAGCUGUGUGAACAUGAUUUUGACAAUGAUUUGGAAAUGAGAUGAGUUUUUGAAUAGUAAUCAUGGAUUGUGUAAGGAAUUGCUG